GGUCCCAUGGUUUAAUGGUUAGCACUCUGGAUUUUAAUCCAGCGAUCCGAGUUCAAAUCUCGGUGGGACCU
rnacentral:tRNA from 1 species